rnacentral:rRNA from 1 species
GACGAACGCUGGCGGCGUGCUUAACACAUGCAAGUCGAACGGAAAGGCCCUGCUUUUGCGGGGUGCUCGAGUGGCGAACGGGUGAGUAACACGUGAGUAACCUGCUCUUGACUUUGGGAUAACUUCAGGAAACUGGGGCUAAUACCGGAUAGGAGCUCCUGCUGCAUGGUGGGGGGUGGAAAGUUUCGGCGGUUGGGGAUGGACUCGCGGCUUAUCAGCUUGUUGGUGGGGUAGUGGCUUACCAAGGCAUUGACGGGUAGCCGGCCUGAGAGGGUGACCGGCCACAUUGGGACUGCGAUACGGACCAGACGCCUACGUGAGGCAGCAGUGGGGAAUAUUGCACAAUGGGCGGAAGCCUGAUGCAGCAACGCCGCGUGCGGGAUGACGGCCUUCGGGUUGUAAACCGCUUUCGCCUGUGACGAAGCGUGAGUGACGGUAAUGGGUAAAGAAGCACCGGCUAACUACGUG